rnacentral:rRNA from 1 species
AGCGCAGGCGGGAAGACAAGUUGGAAGUGAAAUCUAUGGGCUCAACCCAUAAACUGCUUUCAAAACUGUUUUUCUUGAGUAGUGCAGAGGUAGGCGGAAUUCCCGGUGUAGCGGUGGAAUGCGUAGAUAUCGGGAGGAACACCAGUGGCGAAGGCGGCCUACUGGGCACCAACUGACGCUGAGGCUCGAAAGUGUGGGGAGCAAACA